UUUUGGAACGUUAUUUAUUUUGGAGAGAAUAGCUAAAUCCUUGUUUGUGGAUCCUGUUUUUAUAUAACUUCUUGGAGUUGCCCCCCAACACUGUAUUGUAUUAUUGUUUCCUGUCGUAUUGUUUCAGAUCCAAACACGCUAUGCUGUUUCCAGCCAUGUCAUCUUUGCAUAGACACCACCCAGCACCCACCCAUCUUCCUACUUUCUUCGAACCAACCACUCGGAUCAAAGCCAUGCUGCACUACCCUUAACAGGGUUUCUGAAUUCGAUAAACCACUCCCAGGAAUAGUUGAAAAUCGUCUAAUCUUUUGGGAAUUAAUGGAGAACCAAUCAGCUUACCCUCAGCAUAGUAUGGCUGAUCAAGGGAUUCGCCCUGUUCGGCUGGCUAAUACUUUGCCAUCUAAUUCAGCAGAUGACGGCUAUAUCUGGACGAAUUUGGGUCUGCAGGAAAAUUUUCUAGACUCAGACCGAUUAGUCUGUUAUAAAUGCUCCGAUGCAAACUGUAUGGUCAAGAAAUUGGUAAGGCUAUCUGCAGAUGGUCAGAUUUUGGACAUAGUUUACAAGGGAUGCCACAAUCACCACCGAAGAGAUGCUCCAACUGGAUACAUACCAGCUGCUGACUCCCAAUGCUAUGUGCCAUCUGAAAUGUACGUAGCAGGGACUUCAAUUCCUGACACUGAGGAAGGAGGUGAACAAGAACAACUUGGCAGUUCUAGUGACAGCGAGGAAGAGGAUGAUGGCGAACAAAGAGCUGAUGGCCAUGUUGCCGGUGCCAGCGUUACAGAAAGAAAUGUGGUAUCUCCAGCUGAAAGGCUCACUGUGCGAACCAGGAGCGGAACUUCUCACCGAAAAAGACCGAAGUCGAAAGUGUGGGAGGACUUUACAAAAGUUUUUAGAGAUGGAAAACUUGGAGCAGCAGUCUGUAAACAUUGUGAAAGCUCCCUUAGUGCAAAAACUACAGGAGGAACAAGCCAUCUGAGACGACAUCUGAAGACCUGUCCUGCACGACCUGCAACAGAUCAGGUGCAGCUGCGAUGGUCAUAUUCACAUCCCGAUUCAUCUGUUGAGAAGAACCCAACUUUUGAUCAAGAUAAAUCUCUUGAAUUGCUUACUAAGGCUUUAGUCUCCAACCUUUGCUCCUUUUCAUUGACAAGCUGUACAAAUUAUAGGCAAUUUUUGGCUGGAAUCUGUCCUACUUAUGACAUGGUAUCGGAAUAUGCUAUUCAAGAGAAGUUUCUCAGUAUUUUUCAGAACCAAAAGCUGAAGCUGAAGGAUGAAAUAUCACUUGCACCUGGGGGAUGUUUCCUGACACUAGCAAAGUGGGUCCUUGGAACUAACUACUUCAUAUGUGUGACGGCACAUUUUAUUGACAAAGAAUGGAACAUGAUUAGAAGAAUCAUUAGUUGUAGCUUUGCAGGGUCUAAGGAGGAAAGCAUGGAUGCUUAUAUUAGCAUGUUUCCCGAUUUUCAGUCUUACCAAAGUUUGAGUAACAGCUGGAAUGAGUAUGAUGAGGAUGCAGAACCUGACGCAAAAAUAAUAAUAAAAGAAGUAAUCCAAAGUUGGAGUCUGGACGGGAAGCUUAUAGGAAUUUCAUUCCCCGUGUCAUUAUUUGAUACAGAUAUAUCGGGCUUGCAGAAGAAUCUUACAGAACAUAAUUAUCUUGUCAGAAACAACUUACUAAGUUUACCUUGCAUAAGAGAAUUACUCGGUGUUUUUAUUUAUUUUUACAGCAGUGCGUUUGUCCAAAACCUAAGUAAGGACUGGUUUAAGUACAUGACAUGCUCCCCACUGCGUACGGAAAAAUACAAAGAAAUCCUUCUGCAGCUGCAAAUAAACCGACCCACUUUUGGUUCCCAGAAAUGGUACUUGGCUUUCUACUCUCUGGAGGCUGCUCUGCAAUUUAACAAGGUCUUUCCAAACCCUGAGCUGAUAGAUUCAAAAACUUAUCCAUCUAGGCCAUCUGAUGAGAGAGUACAGCAUACAGAGGAUUAUUGUAAUAUUGCAAGGCUGGUUUAUGAUGCUAUUCAAGUGGCAUCCAGGUCCAGCCCAAGCAAUGCGACAUUGAAUUCAAAUUUUCACACAAUUUGGAACUUGAAGAUAGCUCUGACGAGGUCAUCUGAAAUGGCAAAGAAACAAUUUUACCAUGGUAAGUUAGAUGAGCUUUGGGAGAAAUGGUACCUGUGGCUAUCUUUGGCUGUCGUUCUAGACCCAAGAUAUAAAAUCAGGUUUCUUGAUCGUUCCUUCAAAGAAGCUUUUGGUAGUAAUGCUAACAAGUACAUGCUCGAAGUGCGUGCAAAGAUUUGUGAGCUUUUUUUUCGGUACUCUAUUCACGCUGAUCAGCAGGGUGGUGAGUGCUCGAAUGACAGCAACACUGAGAGCUUAACCGCUACCUUGAAGGGGAAUGUCUUCCUGAAAAUGUUCCUUUCAAUAUUCUGAAAUGGUGGAAGGGCAAUGCUUUGAUGUAUCCAACUCUUGCAUUGUUGGCACGCGACAUCUUAAGUAUACCUGCAUGUGUGGUCUCCUCUGAAUCUGCAUUCGAUGAAACUGAUGAACGGGUGAGUCUUUUCAAUCGAAAACUGAGUCCUGAAGUAGUUGAAGCCCUCAUCUGCACCCAAGAUUGGCUCAAAUCUUCAGAAACAAAUGACGAAGUCCGUGGAAACACAAACAUGCCAGCUUAAUGCAUGGCAAGUUCCUUCAGUUUUUUCAUUGGUUCAACAAGAAGUGAAGAGUGGUUUCGGCCUCAUUUGCACCUUUACCUAUCUCAUUAUAAUGCAUCAGUGUUGGGUGACGCCUCGACAGAAGGCGAACUGCCCAUGGUUUGUAAUAACUUAUUUGUUUUACUGCAUUCACUGUGAAAAUAUAAACAACACUUUCCUGUUUAGUAAUUAUUGUGCAGUACGGAGGUGUACUAGAGUUAUAGACUCAUAUGUACUAGUGUGACAUUUAAUUUGGUUCAAGUUUAUUGAAAAAUAUGUCAUCUGCACCUUUACCUAUCUCAUUAUAAUGCAUCAGCGUUGGGUGAUGCCGUGACAGAAGGCAAACUGCCCAUGGUUUGUAAUAACUUAAUUGUUUUGCUGCAUUCACCAUGAAAAUAUGAACAAUACUUGCUUGUUUA